GAUGAACGCUGGCGGCGUGCCUAAUACAUGCAAGUCGAGCGAACGGACGAGAAGCUUGCUUCUCUGAUGUUAGCGGCGGACGGGUGAGUAACACGUGGAUAACCUACCUAUAAGACUGGGAUAACUUCGGGAAACCGGAGCUAAUACCGUAUAAUAUUUUGAACCGCAUGGUUCAAAAGUGAAAGACGGUCUUGCUGUCACUUAUAGAUGGAUCCGCGCUGCAUUAGCUAGUUGGUAAGGUAACGGCUUACCAAGGCAACGAUGCAUAGCCGACCUGAGAGGGGGAUCGGCCACACUGGAACUGAGACACGGUCCAGACUCCUACGGGAGGCAGCAGUAGGGAAUCUUCCGCAAGGGGCGAAAGCCUGACGGAGCAACGCCGCGUGAGUGAUGAAGGUCUUCGGAUCGUAAAACUCUGUUAUUAGGGAAGAACAUAUGUGUAAGUAACUGUGCACAUCUUGACGGUACCUAAUCAGAAAGCCACGGCUAACUACGUG
rnacentral:rRNA from 1 species